rnacentral:rRNA from 1 species
GGACAACCUGCCCUGAGGACUGGAAUAAUCCCGGGAAACUGGGAGUAAUUCCAGAUAUGCCAGGGAACCUGGAAUGGUUUCUGGCAGAAAUGCUCCGGCGCCUCAGGAUGGGUCUGCGGCCUAUCAGGGUAGUAGUGGGUGUAACGUACCCACUAGCCUACGACGGGUACGGGUUGUGAGAGCAAGAGCCCGGAGAUGGAUUCUGAGACAUGAAUCCAGGCCCUACGGGGUGCAGCAGGCGCGAAAACUUUACAAUGCGAGCAACCGCGAUAAGGGGACCUCGAGUUCUGGGUUACAAACCUGGCUGUUGGGCUGCCUAAAAAGCAAUCUAUAGCAAGGGCCAGGCAAGACCGGUGCCAGCCGCCGCGGUAACACCGGCGGCUCGAGUGGUAACCGCUGUUAUUGGGUCUAAAGGGUCUGUAGCCUGCCGGCUAAGUCUCUUGGGAAAUCUGGCAUCUCAAGUGUCAGGCUGCCAGGGGAUACUGGUCAGCUUGGGACCGGGAGAGGUGAGAGGUACCUCAGGGGUAGGGGUGAAAUCUUGUAAUCCUUGAGGGACCACCAGUGGCGAAGGCGUCUCACCAGAACGGAUCCGACGGCAAGGGACGAAAGCUAGGGGCACGAACCGGAUUAGAUACCCGGGUAGUCCUAGCCGUAAACGAUACUCGCUAGGUGUCGGCCACGGUGCGACCGUGGUCGGUGCCGUAGGGAAGCCGUGAAGCGAGCCACCUGGGAAGUACGGCCGCAAGGCUGAAACU